rnacentral:lncRNA from 1 species
GGGACUGGUCAUAAUUUAUCAGGGGGUGGGGAGGUGUAAUUCAAAAUUUUAAGGAAUGAUAUUUUGUGACCCAGUUUUGCCAUAACCCGGAAAAAUAAUGCCCCCCCCCCCUCUCUCUUGCUCGUGUCAGUAAAAAUGUAUCUACCUACUACUAAACCCUGCAUUCAAUAAAUUUUCUAAUUUCACUUUAAAUUUUCUAAUUUUCUAGUUGCGC